rnacentral:ncRNA from 1 species
UCUGAAACAAGGCAAACCCGUCGAAAGACGGCGUCGCAAAGUUACCGGCCUACCGCCGCAUCAUAACGGCAACGGCAGCGGGACUACCAGA